CCCGACUGCUAUUUGGGUGAGGAUAAGCCAUGCGAGUCGAAUGGGAUACCUAAAGUUCCCAUGGCAAACUGCUCAGUAACACAUGAUCAACUUACCCUAUAGAGAAAAAUAACCUCGGGAAACUGAGGAUAAUGUUUCAUAGUUGAAUUGGCUUGGAAAAGUUUUUCGACGAAAGGGGUAAAAAAAAAUGGUUUUUAUCUGCUAUAGGAUAGGAUCGUGUUCGAUUAUGGUUGUUGGUGAGGUAAUGGCUCACCAAGCCGAUAAUCGAUAGGGGCCGUGAGAGCGGGAGCCCCGAGAUGGGUACUGAGACAACGACCCAGGCCUUACGAGGCGCAGCAGGCGCGAAACCUCCGCAAUACACGAAAGUGUGACGGGGUUACCCAAAGUGUUCAUUAGAACUGUGGUAGGUGAGUAAUGUUCCCUACUAGAAAGGAGAGGGCAAGGCUGGUGCCAGCCGCCGCGGUAAAACCAGCUCUUCAAGUGGUCGGGAUAAUAUUGGGCUUAAAGUGUCCGUAGCCGGUUUAGUAAGUUCCUGGUAAAAUCGGGUAGCUUAACUAUCUAUAUGCUAGGAAUACUGCUAUACUAGAGGGCGGGAGAGGUCUGAGGUACUACAGGGGUAGGGGUGAAAUCUUAUAAUCCUUGUAGGACUACCAGUGGCGAAGGCGUCAGACUGGAACGCGCCUGACGGUGAGGGACGAAAGCCAGGGGAGCGAACCGGAUUAGAUACCCGGGUAGUCCUGGCCGUAAACGAUGCAUACUAGGUGAUGGUACGGCCAUGAGCCGUAUCAGUGCCGUAGGGAAACCGUUAAGUGUGCCGCCUGGGAAGUACGGUCGCAAGGCCAAAACUUAAAGGAAUUGGCGGGGGAGCACCACAAGGGGUGGAACCUGCGGUUCA
rnacentral:rRNA from 1 species